AGGAAAUUGAGACUCCACUAGUAAGAACAGAUCUCUGAGCAAACCUGGGUCUCUCUGGCUUCCAAGCCCAUAUCCCUCCUACUUCUUUCCACAGCCCACACAGCAGAAAGAGAUGAAUUUACGAUUCAUUCAUUCAUUUAACAAUAUUUAUUCAAUAUCCACUGUAUGCUAGACCCAGUGGUAAGUGUGCAAACAAGAUAGUUGUAAACAAGAUAGGCUCCCAUUUCACAGGAAAUGCAGCCCACAUGGAGACAGGAGCCCAUGGUGGUUAAGAGCAUGAGCUUUGUCUUCUAUGUUCUGUGUUCAAUUUCCUGCUCUGUCUUUUUUUCAGUCCUUACCGAGAUAUGCAAUGCUGUGCCACUUUCUAUCUCUGUGGUCCUGGGAGACUUACUUAACCUCUAAGCCCCCAUUUCAUUAUCUAUAAAUUAAGAAUCAUAAAACUGAAUUCUGCUUAACACAAUUCCUGUACUACAUAAUUAGCAUUCAAAAAUAUGAGUUGUAAUUAUCUUGGAAAACAAGCAUCAAUCAAAAAGCUUUAAUUUGGAAUAAUAAGUAUCAAAACAUGGAAGACACAAGUAAAACAAACCAACCCAGGGUCUGACAUAUACAUGAUACUCAAUAAAUACAUGAAAGAAAGAGAGAGACAAAGUGAGAAAGGAAGGAAAAAAAGAAGGAAGAUAGAAUGGGAGGACGAAAGAAGGAAAUACAGCAUUACAUACAUGUAUUGAUAUUUUUUAAGUAGGACUGUGCUUACUUACUGAGAAGACCAGGGUUAACACUUAUGAAAAGUGAGAACUAUAUUUUACUUGGCUUUUGGAAGCUUCAUUCUGAAGUUAGAGAAGGGAGGGCAGGCAGCAAUCAGGCGGGAGGUGAGAGAUCAGAGGGGAGAUGAGACUCCUUUCCCAGGACCAAAGCCUGAAGCCAGAUCCUUAAAAGUCCUCCCACGUACUGCCCUGCUUCAAAAAGACUUAAUAAGCCCAAGGCAAACUCGGUGAGAAAGAGCCCUGAGAGAGAAUCCCUUCCCUGGAAGACUGUUUUCUAUGGUUAUAAUGGGAAAGGAGGAAGGAGAGGGACGAUGUGGGCAGAAUAAAAGAAGGCUAGCAGAGCCAGAAGAAAUGGAAGAAGGAUGCAGAGCCAGAGAAAACAGUGAUGAAUGCGUGUGUGUACGUAGAUGUGUAGGUGUGCGUAUGUAGAUAUGUGUGUGUGCAUGUGUAUUUUAUGCACCUAUCUGUGAGUGUGUGUGUCCAUGAUCCCACAGCAUCCCAUUGCCAAUCAGUUGUGCCCAUCAGUCCACCCUCAGGAACCCUGGAGCAGGAGGAAUGCUCUGCCCCUCCGCUGUGGUUGGCUGAUGCCUCUCUGCCAUGGCUCAGAAAUUGGCCCUCCAAGACGCACAUCCACAGGCCUGGCUCCCCACCAAACCCCAGGGCAGACCUUCCAGAGGAAACCACCUUCUCAUUGUGUCUCUGUGAGAAUGGCGGUUUGAUCCCUGGCCCGGCUCAAUGGGUUAGGGAUCUGGCACUGCCAUAAGCUUGCAGCAGAAUUUGCAGAUGUGGCUCAGGUCUGGUGUUGCUAUAGCUUUAGCACAGGUCACAUCUGCAGCACUGAUUCGACCUCUGGCCCAGGAACUUCCAUAUGCAGCAAGUUCAGCCUUAAAAAGAAAAAAAAAAAAGGAGCUCCCAUCAUGGCUCAGAUGAAACGAAUCCAUCUAGUAACCGUGAGGUUGUGGGUUCAAUCCCCGCCCUCACUCAGUGGAUUAAGGAUCUGGCAUUGCCAUAAGCUGUGUAGGGCGAAGACACAGCUUGGAUUUCCCAUUGCUAUGGCUGUGGUAUUGGCUGGCAGCUGCAGCUCCAAUUUGACCUCUAGUCUGGGAAGUUCCAUAUGCUGCAGGUGAGGC
rnacentral:lncRNA from 1 species